CCUUGUGCAAGAGCAAGUUCACCUCUUUUCUUCUUCAGAAGAAGCUCUCCUUAAUAAUUAGUUCACUCGGCAGGUGCAAAAUAAACAUCACAAGGAUGAGUUUUGAAGAAACACGAGCCAGCAUAAGAAUCAUCGCAAAAUGAUUGGAGCUGUUGCCUCUCUUUUCCACACAUAUACAUUAAAAACUUGUGUUCUGUGCUCCAAGUUGUAAAACCCCAUAUUAGCAUUCAUUAUCAAAAUUACAAAAAACUUCACUAUACUUUCCUAAUCCUCGCUUUGCAGAAUUUCAUGGAUAUUAUGAAACAGGGUGCAGAAAUUGUUGGUCCCAUUAAAUUCUGGGAAACAGACUUUCACCUAUCAAAUGCAACACUAGAGCAAGAGCAGCAACAAUUGGCAAUUCCCUUUCUUACACCCAGGCCUCAUCACCCAUUAGCUUCUUGAUCCAUUACAAGCAGAGUCACCUCCCCAUCAAACUUCAUGAUCUAACUAUGCUUUACGAGCACGGUCACGCCAAGAACCUUGUUGCUUUGCAAGAACCUUCUCGCUUAAAAGGCCUUUAGUGACUUCAGUUUUGUUGCUCUCUUUUUCAUUGUUUUCUGCCUCUGGCUCGCUGUCUGAAAUCAUGGAUCCUGGAAGCACUGGCGCUCCAAACAUGGCCUCAUCAUGAGCAGCUUUAAUUGUCUCCUCCUUCCUUGCCUCCACAGCAGAAAAUCUGAAACUCUGGCCAAUGUGUUUGACUAGUUCUGCAUCAUCUUCUGCAGCUUCAAUUUCCUCAUCAUCAAGUGGGGCAUCCUUGUUGAACUCAAAUCGCUCCCAACCAGAGCCCAUGCCCUUUGCUGUAUCUUUUUCAGCAGUUUCAUCAAGCUGAAGUUUCAUCCUGGCUUUGACUCUUUCAGCUGGUGUCAUUUUUUCAUAGCCUUGAAUCAACUGUGAAUAAUCAACGCUCCCGUUCCUCUCAUUUCCUGCUCUCUCCCUCUCCACAUCAUUACUGCUGCUGUUGUCUGACCUCCUCCGUCCUCUAGGUGAUAUGCUCCGACUGCGAUUUCUUCUCUCCCAUCUCCUGUCCCGCCGUGGGGACGCGCUCCGACUCUUACUCCUGCUUCUGCUCCUUCUUCUCCUAUCUCUAUCCCUUUCUCUAUAUCUCUCUCUGCUUCUGCUCCUACUUCGCCUCCUAUGAUGCCUCUCUCUGUCCCUGUCCCUUUCUCUAUCCCUCUCUCUACUUCUGGAACGAUGCCUACGGCUCGAUUCUCUGCUGCUUAUUUCGGAAACCCUAGACGAUGAGUCAUCCCUCGGUUUCUUCUUGAGCUUGUUUUGAAUGGACUCGAGCUGCGCUUGCUUUUCGAAAUUUGAGGUCUGAGAGGGGCUGGAGGAUUUGACAAAACUGCUAAGAAAAGAAGAAUAUGAAGGGACAGCUGAGCCUUUAGAAGGAGCAGAAUCAUUGCUGCUAGAGAAGCCGAGGCCUUGCUUGAACUUAGCGGCGCCUUCGCCUUUGCGGGUGAGCUCAUCGUAGUAGGCAACUGCUUUCUCUUCCUCCAUUUUUGAUUGUGAUGGAGGCU
rnacentral:misc_RNA from 1 species